rfam:Ovis aries breed Texel chromosome 5, whole genome shotgun sequence.
UCCCAGGUGGCUCAAAUGGUAAAGUAUCUGCUUGCAAUGCAGGAGACCUAGGUUUGAGUCCUAGGUCAGGAA